rnacentral:tRNA from 1 species
GCCCGGGUGGCGGAAUUGGUAGACGCGCGCGCUUCAGGUGCGUGUGGAGGCGACUUCGUGGAAGUUCGAGUCUUCUUCCGGGCACCA